GACAGAGGAUGCAAACAUUACUCGGAUUUACUAAGCGUAAAACGCGCGCAAACGAUCCUGUAAGUCGGACGUGAAAGCCCAGGGCUCAACCUUGGAAGUGCGUCCGAUACUGCGGGACUGGAGUACUGGAGAGGAGAGCGGAAUUCCCGGUGUAGAGGUGAAAUUCGUAGAUAUCAAGAGGAACACCAAUGGCGAAAGCGACUCUCUGGACAGAUACUGACGCUGAGGCGCGAAAGCGUGGGAAGCAAACAGG
rnacentral:rRNA from 1 species